GACGAACGCUGGCGGCGUGCUUAACACAUGCAAGUCGAGCGGUAAGGCCCUUUCGGGGGUACACGAGCGGCGAACGGGUGAGUAACACGCGGGUGACCUGCCCUCAGCUCUGGGAUAAGCCUGGGAAACUGGGUCUAAUACUGGAUAUGACUCCACGGUGCAUGUCGUGGGGUGGAAAGCCUUGUGCGGCUGAGGAUGGGCCCGCGGCCUAUCAGCUUGUUGGGGGGUGAUG
rnacentral:rRNA from 1 species